GUGGGGAAUAUUGGGCAAUGGGGGAAACCCUGACCCAGCGACGCCGCGUGAGGGAAGACGGCCUUCGGGUUGUAAACCUCUUUUGUACGGGAAGAAGGAAGUGACGGUACUGUACGAAUAAGUCCCGGCUAACUACGUGCCAGCAGCCGCGGUAAUACGUAGGGGACGAGCGUUGUCCGGAAUUACUGGGCGUAAAGGGCGCGCAGGCUGUGCUGCAAGUCAGCUGCGAAAUGUCUGGGCUUAACCCGGGCAUGCGGUUGAGACUGCAGUGCUGGAGUGCUGUAGAGGCAAGUGUGAUUCCCAGUGUAGCGGUGAAAUGCGUAGAUAUUAGGAAGAACACCGGUGGCGAAGGCGACUUGCUGGGCAGCAACUGACGCUGAGGCGCGAAAGCCAGGGGAGCAAACGGGAUUAGAUACCCUGGUAGUCC
rnacentral:rRNA from 1 species